rnacentral:rRNA from 1 species
CUGGCUCAGGACGAACGCGGGCGGCGUGCCUAACACAUGCAAGUCGAACGGGGUAGCAAUACCCAGUGGCGAACGGGUGCGUAACACGUGAGGAACAUGCCCUUCGGCGGGGGAUAGCCGGCCCAACGGCCGGGUAAUACCGCGUACGACCUUCGGGUGGCAUCACCUGGGGGUGAAAGCAGCAAUGCGCCGAUGGAGUGCCUCGCGGCCUAUCAGCUAGUUGGUGAGGUAAUGGCUCACCAAGGCGACGACGGGUAGCUGGUCUGAGAGGAUGAUCAGCCACAUUGGGACUGAGACACGGCCCAGACUCCUACGGGAGGCAGCAGUGGGGAAUCUUGCGCAAUGGCCGAAAGGCUGACGCAGCGACGCCGCGUGUGGGAUGAAGGUCUUCGGAUUGUAAACCACUGUCGGGAGGGACGAAGCUCUGACGGUACCUCCAAAGGAAGCACCGGCUAACUCUGUGCCAGCAGCCGCGGUAAUACAGAGGGUGCGAGCGUUGUCCGGAAUCACUGGGCGUAAAGGGCGCGUAGGCGGCCUGGUAAGUCGGGGGUGAAACGCUGCAGCUCAACCGCAGCACUGCCUUCGAGACUGUCAGGCUUGAGCACGGUAGAGGCUGGUGGAAUUCCCGGUGUAGCGGUGGAAUGCGUAGAGAUCGGGAAGAACAUCGGUGGCGAAGGCGGCCAGCUGGGCCGUUGCUGACGCUGAGGCGCGACAGCGUGGGGAGCAAACAGGAUUAGAUACCCUGGUAGUCCACGCCGUAAACGAUGGGUACUAGGCGUCGGGGGGAGCGACCCUCUCGGUGCCGUCGCUAACGCAGUAAGUACCCCGCCUGGGGAGUACGGUCGCAAGGUUGAAACUCAAAG